CAGUCGCCACGGUAAUACGAAGGGUGCAAGCGUUAAUCGGAAUUACUGGGCGUAAAGGGUGCGUAGGCGGUUGUUUAAGUCUGUUGUGAAAUCCCCGGGCUCAACCUGGGAAUGGCAAUGGAUACUGGGCAGCUAGAGUGUGAUAGAGGAUGGUGGAAUUCCCGGUGUAGCGGUGAAAUGCGUAGAGAUCGGGAGGAACAUCAGUGGCGAAGGCGGCCAUCUGGAUCAACACUGACGCUGAAGCACGAAAGCGUGGGGAGCAAACAGGAUUAGAUACCCCCGUAGUCCCUGUCUCUUAUAC
rnacentral:rRNA from 1 species